CCUACGGGAGGCAGCAGUGAGGAAUAUUGGUCAAUGGACGAGAGUCUGAACCAGCCAAGUAGCGUGAAGGAUGACUGCCCUAUGGGUUGUAAACUUCUUUUAUAUGGGAAUAAAACAGGGUAUGCAUACCCUCUUGUAUGUACCAUAUGAAUAAGGAUCGGCUAACUCCGUGCCAGCAGCCGCGGUAAUACGGAGGAUCCGAGCGUUAUCCGGAUUUAUUGGGUUUAAAGGGAUCGUAGGUGGAUUGUUAAGUCAGUUGUGAAAGUUUGCGGCUCAACCGUAAAAUUGCAGUUGAAACUGGCAGUCGUGAGUACAGUAGAGGUGGGCGGAAUUCGUGGUGUAGCGGUGAAAUGCUGAGAUAUCACGAAGAACUCCGAUUGCGAAGGCAGCUCACUGGACUGCAACUGACACUGAUGCUCGAAAGUGUGGGUAUCAAACAGGAUUAGAUACCCCGGUAGUC
rnacentral:rRNA from 1 species